rnacentral:lncRNA from 10 species
GAUAGAGAACCCUUAGGAAGGCGAUGCUGGAUCCUAUGGGUCUCAACAGAGGGCCUUACGGGGCCACUGUAACAACCAACCACGAAUGGGAGGCUCAACACAACUGAAACGCACGUCCUCACAGUCCUGGAGGCCCGAACUCCAAAACCAAGGCGCCAGCAGGGCCACGCUUCCUCCACGGAGCCUCGGGGAGCAGACGGUCUUGAGACGAGACUUGCUCCCGCAACCCUUUCCCAGCUGCAGCUGCCUCUCCGCCAUCUCUGCCUCCGUGGCCACGCGGCAUCUUCUCCCUGGCAUGGGCUGAACCACCGCAUCUCGGGCAGGGAAGAAAAAAAUGCUGGCAACUAAACCGUGAGGUCCCUUCAAGAGUAAAAUGGAACCUAAGAGGAAGACGGAACCUAACAGAGAUGUCGGGAGGAGAAGCAGCAUGCAUCUUAGAAUUGAUAAGCACGAUAC